rnacentral:lncRNA from 1 species
UUAUGGGCCUGUUUGUUUCUCCAUUUGGAUGGAUCAUCUGGAUGAAGAUGAGAGUUUUGUUUGUUUAGGCACUAAAAGUGCAAUUCAUUCAAAUGGAUCAUCCGGAUGAUUUUUGGAAAUUUAGGCUUAAUUUUAAAGUCCAUUCAGCUGAACCAAUUUGGAUCAUUUGAAUGGAGAUGAUUCAUUCAAAAUGGUAUAAAGUCUAUUAUGCCCCUAAUGUAAUUCACAAAUUACA